CCAGAGUCCAUUUCCUUUGCUGAGAAUAACGACUCACUCUCUGCUGGACACCUGCAAGGAAUUACUCCAGUGCCUCCCUCGCUAACCUGUUGUUCAUCACUCCCUCAGUUGGCAGGAAUUAAAUCACUGCUGCUCAGAAAUUGCCAGGACAUCUGCUUACCAUCACUGUCCCCAGGGAACCAGGCUCUCUGACAUUGCAGCCACCACUCUCCUUAGCCAGGGCCCUUGAAUGCUUUUGGAGACAUUUAGAAAAGGAGUUGGCACAGAAGCAUAAUGCUGGAUGAAAACUGCCAUUCAGAAGACUUCGCCAUUCAAGACUGCUGAGCCUAAGGGUUUCAAACACGUCUCCCCACCCGCCAGUCAUUGCUUGUCCUGAUUCAAAGAGACUUGAAUCCAUCCAAGGAGCUGGAUAGAGAGCAGCUUGUCGUUGGUCAGACGUGGUCUUUUUUGCAGUCCAGGCACUGGGACAGAAGCCAGCAAGCAAACUGAUCUCAAAGGAGUUUGGAAUCAAGAAUAUGAGAUACUGAGAGAAGAUGGUUGCUUGACCUGAGGUCUCCUAGAAUUGGAUAAAUCAAAGCCACCUUUACACCAGAGCUACGGUGGAACAGAGAAGCCACCACUUUGCCAGGAGAGAUGCAGAAGAAUGAAGCAGAUGUGGGCAGAGAAGAGAGGUCAUUCAAGACACAAGACUUGCCACCGUCUCCCAGGGUGAACAUCCUCAUACCAUCUCCCGGGGUGAACAUCUCCACAUCUGGAGUCGAAGAUCUCCUAAGAUCACCUCUGGCCAACUCUUUCUCCUGAGCUCCAGGCCUACCAGUAGAUAUCCAACUGCCCAUUGGCGGCUCCUCUUGGGUGUCACUAGCCCUGCAAAUUCAAUGA
rnacentral:lncRNA from 1 species